rnacentral:rRNA from 1 species
GGAUGAACGCUGGCGGUGUGCCUUAUACAUGCAUGUCGAACGAGGCGUAGCAAUACGUCUAGUGGCAAAUGGGUGAGUAAUAAAUAGGUAACCAACCCUUAAGACGGGGAUACCCCAUCGAAAGAUGGAAUAAUACCCGAUAAUGUCCCUUCCGGUGCGCUGGAGGGGAAGAAAGAUGGCGCAAGCUAUCACUUUUGGACGGGCUUAUUUCCUAUCAGCUAGUUGGUGAGGUAACGGCUUACCAAGGCUACGACGGGUAGCUGGUCUGAGAGGACGGUCAGCCACAUUGGGACUGCGACACGGCCCAGACUCCUACGGGAGGCAGCAGUCGGGAAUAUUCGGCCAAUGGGCGAAAGCCUGAUGUAGCAACGCCGCGUGUGCGAUGAAGGUCUUCGGAUUGUAAAGCACUUUUUGGAGGGAUGAGGAAGGACAGUACCUCCAGAAUAAGCCUCGGCUAACUACGUGCCAGCAGCCGCGGUAACACGUAGGAGGCAAGCGUUAUUCGGAUUUACUGGGCGUAAAGCGCGUGCAGGCGGUUUGGAAAGUUGGAUGUGAAAGCUCCUGGCUCAACUGGGAGAGGUCGUUCAAAACUUCCAGACUUGAGAGUGGUAGAGGGAGGUGGAAUUCCGGGUGUAGUGGUGAAAUGCGUAGAUAUCCGGAGGAACACCAGUGGCGAAAGCGGCCUCCUGGACCACUUCUGACGCUCAGACGCGAAAGCUAGGGUAGCAAACGGGAUUAGAGACCCCGGUAGUCCUAGCUGUAAACGAUGUGAACUUGGCGUUGGUGGGUUUAAAUCCAUCAGUGCCGAAGCUAACGCGAUAAGUUCACCGCCUGGGGACUACGGCCGCAAGGUUAAAACUCAAAGGAAUUGACGGGGCCCCGCACAAGCAGCGGAGCGUGUGGUUUAAUUCGAUGCUACACGAAGAACCUUACCAGGGUUUGACAUGCAAGUGGUAGAGAAGCGAAAGCGGAUCGACCCCUCGGGGAGCUUGCACAGGUGCUGCAUGGCUGUCGUCAGCUCGUGUCGUGAGAUGUACCGUUAAGUCGGAAAACGAGCGCAACCCUUAUUCUAUGUUUCAUGUGUCAUAGAAAACUGCCUGCGUUAAGCAGGAGGAAGGUGGGGAUGACGUCAAAUCAGCAUGGUUCUUACACCUUGGGCGACACACGUGCUACAAUGGGUAAUACAAAGGGACGCCAAACCGUAAGGUGGAGCAAAUCCCCCAAAAUUACUCUCAGUUCGGAUUGAGGUCUGCAACUCGACCUCAUGAAGCCGGAAUCGCUAGUAAACGCGUAUCAGCCACGGCGCGUUGAAUACGUUCUCGGGUCU